AUAGCGUAUAUUUAAGUUGUUGCAGUUAAAAAGCUCGUAGUUGGAUUUUGGUUAAGAGGGCGCGGUCGGCCGUUUGGUCUGUACUGCGUUGUCUUGACUUCCUGAUGAGGACAUGCUCUUGGUUAACGCUGAGACAUGGAGUCAUCGUGGUUACUUUGAAAAAAUUAGAGUGUUCAAAGCGGGCUUACGCUUGAAUAUAUUAGCAUGGAAUAACACUAUAGGACUCCUGUCCUAUCUCGUUGGUCUCGGGAUGGGAGUAAUGAUUAAGAGGAACAGUUGGGGGCAUUCGUAUUUCAUUGUCAGAGGUGAAAUUCUUGGAUUUAUGAAAGACGAACUUCUGCGAAAGCAUUUGCCAAGGAUGUUUUCAUUAAUCAAGAACGAAAGUUGGGGGCUCGAAGAUGAUUAGAUACCAUCCUAGUCUCAACCAUAAACGAUGCCGACUAGGGAUUGGUGGAUGUUAAUUGAUGGCUUCACCAGCACCUUAUGAGAAAUCAAAGUUUUUGGGUUCCGGGGGGAGUAUGGUCGCAAGGCUGAAACUUAAAGGAAUUG
rnacentral:rRNA from 1 species